rnacentral:rRNA from 1 species
UACGUAGGUGGCAAGCGUUAUCCGGAUUUAUUGGGCGUAAAGGGAACGCAGGCGGUCUUUUAAGUCUGAUGUGAAAGCCUUCGGCUUAACCGGAGUAGUGCAUUGGAAACUGGGAGACUUGAGAGCAGAAGAGGAGAGUGGAACUCCAUGUGUAGCGGUGAAAUGCGUAGAUAUAUGGAGGAACACCAGUGGCGAAAGCGGCUCUCUGGUCUGUAACUGACGCUGAGGUUCGAAAGCGUGGGUAGCAAACAGG